rnacentral:rRNA from 1 species
UACGGAGGAUCCAAGCGUUAUCCGGAUUUAUUGGGUUUAAAGGGUGCGUAGGUGGCUUUUUAAGUCAGGGGUGAAAGACGGCAGCUUAACUGUCGCAGUGCCCUUGAUACUGAAGAGCUUGAAUGAACUAGAGGUAAGCGGAAUGUGACAAGUAGCGGUGAAAUGCAUAGAUAUGUCACAGAACACCAAUUGCGAAGGCAGCUUACUAUGGUUUGAUUGACACUGAGGCACGAAAGCGUGGGGAUCAAACAGG